AGGACGAACGCUGGCGGCGUGCUUAACACAUGCAAGUCGAGCGAUGAAGCUUCUUCGGAAGUGGAUUAGCGGCGGACGGGUGAGUAACACGUGGGUAACCUGCCUCAUAGAGGGGAAUAGCCUUCCGAAAGGAAGAUUAAUACCGCAUAAGAUUGUAAUAUCGCAUGAUAUAGCAAUUAAAGGAGCAAUCCGCUAUGAGAUGGACCCGCGUCGCAUUAGCUAGUUGGUGAGGUAAUGGCUCACCAAGGCGACGAUGCGUAGCCGACCUGAGAGGGUGAUCGGCCACAUUGGGACUGAGACACGGCCCAGACUCCUACGGGAGGCAGCAGUGGGGAAUAUUGCACAAUGGGGGAAACCCUGAUGCAGCAAAACCGCCGCGUGAGUGAUGACGGUCUUCGGAUUGUAAAGCUCUGUCUUCAGGGACGAUAAUGACGGUACCUGAGGAGGAAGCCACGGCUAACUACGUGCCAGCAGCAGC
rnacentral:rRNA from 1 species